UAAGAGCCCUAGUGGCCACCUCCACAAACCCUCAACCGAAGUAGUGAAAUUUUUCAAUAUCUCCCAUGGCAAAGUGGGAUGCCCACUGAAGUGCUCCCUCAAAGCAUACGAUGACCAAUCAGAAGGUAGAAGAUCUCACAAGCCAGAGAAAAGCAUGAGUGACCCUCCAACACUAGAUAAGAUAGCUCCACCACAAUAUUGAAGAGAACAACCAAGAUGAUACCAGCCCC
rnacentral:lncRNA from 1 species